GAUGGACGCUGGCGGCGUGCUUAACACAUGCAAGUCGAACGGUGAAGGCGGAGCUUGCUCUGCUGGAUCAGUGGCGAACGGGUGAGUAACACGUGAGCAAUCUGCCCCUGACUCUGGGAUAAGCGCUGGAAACGGCGUCUAAUACUGGAUACGAGCUGCGAAGGCAUCUUCAGCAGCUGGAAAGAACUUCGGUCAGGGAUGAGCUCGCGGCCUAUCAGCUUGUUGGUGAGGUAACGGCUCACCAAGGCGUCGACGGGUAGCCGGCCUGAGAGGGUGACCGGCCACACUGGGACUGCGACACGGCCCAGACUCCUACGGGAGGCAGCAGUGGGGAAUAUUGCACAAUGGGCGAAAGCCUGAUGCAGCAACGCCGCGUGAGGGACGACGGCCUUCGGGUUGUAAACCUCUUUUAGCAGGGAAGAAGCGAAAGUGACGGUACCUGCAGAAAAAGCGCCGGCUAACUACGUG
rnacentral:rRNA from 1 species